AGCAGCUUGGCACCAUCGGGAACUCCUUGUGUCUGCCGGCCCUUCCCUUUGUCCUUCCAGCAGGUGCACGAGCAGAGCUGGCUGGCCUGGAGCAGGCAGGACGUCAGUCGUCAGUCGGAGGGACCGUGGGGCACCCUUGUGCCCUUGGCCUCGCCUGCACCUGAAGGAAUCGCACCUUUCUACCUCUUGUCUCCCCACUGUGCUGAGUGCACUUGGGCAGUUUCUACUCCAUUCUUGGGCUUCAUCCUGGAAUUGAACUCCGGUCCUUGUGCUUGGAGGCAAGCAGCAGAACCACUGAGCUAAAACCCUGGCCCAAAAGAUUUUUUUGUUUUGGUACCAGGGAUCAAACUUGGAACCCUGCACUUUCAAGGCAGGUGCCAGAACCACUGAGCUAAAUCCCCAGCCCUGCGUUUACAUUUCUUGUGGGAAGUUGGUACAUGUUUGUAAUACAUCCUAAUUCCCUUUAUCAUCCCCUUUCCCUUCCCUGCCUUCUGUGUCCAUCCGUCUCUGGAUCCCCCGCCCUGUUUUUUGGUACAUGUUUGCAGUACGUAAUAUUUACAUCCCUUCUCUGGAACUGAUGCAUGUAUAUAACACAUCUUAAUAUCUUGUUUCAUCCUCUUUCCCUCCCCACUUCCCCUCUCCCUCCAUCUCUUGGUCCUCUUUCCCUUUGAGAAAGAUGUAUUUACCUUCAUCCUUUUAUCUAUCUUUUAUUGUGCUCUUUAUUUACACUUUGGGCUUCUCAUAUAAGAGAAUCCAUGCAGUAUUUAAGCUUGUGUGUCUGAUUUAUAUCACUUGACAUUGUGAUUUCAAGGUGCAUCCAUUUUCCUACAAA
rnacentral:lncRNA from 1 species